AUUGAACGCUGGCGGCAUGCCUUACACAUGCAAGUCGAACGGCAGCACGGGAGCAAUCCUGGUGGCGAGUGGCGAACGGGUGAGUAAUACAUCGGAACGUGCCCAAUCGUGGGGGAUAACGCAGCGAAAGCUGUGCUAAUACCGCGUACGAUCUACGGAUGAAAGCAGGGGAUCGCAAGACCUUGCGCGAAUGGAGCGGC
rnacentral:rRNA from 1 species